GUGGGGAAUUUUGGACAAUGGGCGCAAGCCUGAUCCAGCAAUGCCGCGUGCAGGAAGAAGGCCUUCGGGUUGUAAACUGCUUUUGUACGGAACGAAACGGUCCUGGCUAAUAUCCGGGGCUAAUGACGGUACCGUAAGAAUAAGCACCGGCUAACUACGUGCCAGCAGCCGCGGUAAUACGUAGGGUGCGAGCGUUAAUCGGAAUUACUGGGCGUAAAGCGUGCGCAGGCGGUGCUGUAAGACAGGCGUGAAAUCCCCGGGCUCAACCUGGGAAUGGCGCUUGUGACUGCAGUGCUGGAGUGCGGCAGAGGGGGAUGGAAUUCCGCGUGUAGCAGUGAAAUGCGUAGAUAUGCGGAGGAACACCGAUGGCGAAGGCAAUCCCCUGGGCCUGCACUGACGCUCAUGCACGAAAGCGUGGGGAGCAAACAGGAUUAGAAACCCGAGUAGUCC
rnacentral:rRNA from 1 species